UACAGAGGGGGCAAGCGUUAUUCGGAAUUAUUGGGCGUAAAGGGCGCGUAGGCGGCAUCGCAAGUGGAAGGUGAAAUCCCUCGGCUUAACCGAGGAACUGCCCUCCAAACUGCUUGGCUUGAGUCCGGGAGAGGUGAGUGGAAUUCCCAGUGUAGCGGUGAAAUGCGUAGAUAUUGGGAGGAACACCAGUGGCGAAGGCGGCUCACUGGACCGGAACUGACGCUGAGGCGCGAAAGCGUGGGGAGCAAACGGG
rnacentral:rRNA from 1 species